rnacentral:rRNA from 1 species
AUUGAACGCUGGCGGCAGGCCUAACACAUGCAAGUCGAACGAGUGGCGGACGGGUGAGUAAUGUCUGGGAAACUGCCUGAUGGAGGGGGAUAACUACUUGAAACGGUAGCUAAUACCGCAUACCAUCAGAUGUGCCCAGAUGGGAUUAGCUAGUUGGUGGGUUAACGGCUCACCAAGGCGACGCUCCCUAGCUGGUCUGAGAGGAUGACCAGCCAAACGGAAACUGAGACACGGUCCAGACUCCUACGGGAGGCAGCAGUGGGGAAUAUUGCACAAGGGGCGCAAGCCUGAUGGAGCCAUGCCGCUGGUAUGAAGAAGGCCUUCGGGUGGUAAAGUACUGUCAGCGGGGAGGCGUUACCAGCAGAAGAAGCACCGGCUAACUCCGUGCCAGCCGCCGCGGUAAUAC